rnacentral:rRNA from 1 species
GACGAACGCUGGCGGCAUGCCUAACACAUGCAAGUCGAACGAGACCUCCGGGCCUAGUGGCGCUCGGGUGCGUAACGAGUGGGAACCUGCCCUUAGGUUCGGUACAACUCCCUGUAAGGGGUGCUAAGAACGGAGAAUGUCUUAGGACCAAGGAUUUAUCGCCGUUGGAUGGGCCCGCGUUGGUUUAGCCAGUUGGUAGUGUAAAAGCCUACCAAGGCGUCGUUCCAUAGCUGGUCGGGGAGGAUGAUCCGCCACACUGGGACUGAGACCCGGCCCAGACUCGUACGGAAGGCAGGAGUGGGGUAUAUUGGACGAUGGGCGAUAGCCUGACCCAGCAAUGCCGCGUGAGUGAUGAAGGCCUUAGGGUUGUAAAGCUCUUUUACCCGGGAUGAUAAUGACAGUACCGGGAGAAUAAGCACCGGCUAACUCCGUG